rnacentral:rRNA from 1 species
AACGAACGCUGGCGGCGUGGAUAAGACAUGCAAGUCGAACGGGAACUUCAGCUGUAGCAAUACAGUUGAAGUUUUAGUGGCGAACGGGUGCGUAACACGUGGGCAAUCUGCCGAGAAGUGGGGGAUAGCUCGCCGAAAGGCGAAUUAAUACCGCAUAUGAUCAGCUAAGACAUCUUAGCGACAUCAAAGCCGGGGCAACCUGGCGCUUUUUGAGGAGCCCGCGGCCUAUCAGCUAGUUGGUGAGGUAACGGCUCACCAAGGCUAUGACGGGUAGCUGGUCUGAGAGGACGACCAGUCACACUGGGAACUGAGACACGGGUCCAAGACACCUACGGGUGGCAGCAGUCGAGAAUUUUUCUCAAUGGGGCAACCCUGAAGGAGCGACGCCGCGUGGAGGAU